AGAGUUUGAUCCUGGCUCAGGACGAACGCUGGCGGCGUGCCUAAUACAUGCAAGUAGAACGCACAGGAUGCACCGUAGUUUACUACACCGUAUUCUGUGAGUUGCGAACGGGUGAGUAACGCGUAGGUAACCUGCCUGGUAGCGGGGGAUAACUAUUGGAAACGAUAGCUAAUACCGCAUAAGAACAUUUACUGCAUGGUAGAUGUUUAAAAGGUGCAAAUGCAUCACUACCAGAUGGACCUGCGUUGUAUUAGCUAGUUGGUGAGGUAACGGCUCACCAAGGCGACGAUCAGUAGCCGACCUGAGAGGGUGAACGGCCACAUUGGAACUGAGACACGGUCCAAACUCCUACGGGAGGCAGCAGUGGGGAAUAUUGCACAAUGGGGGAAACCCUGAUGCAGCAACGCCGCGUGAACGAUGAAGGCCUUUGGGUCGUAAAGUUCUGUU
rnacentral:rRNA from 1 species